CCUACGGGAGGCAGCAGUGAGGAAUAUUGGACAAUGGGCGCAAGCCUGAUCCAGCCAUGCCGCGUGCAGGAAGACGGUCCUAUGGAUUGUAAACUGCUUUUGUACAGGAAGAAACACUCCCUCGUGAGGGAGCUUGACGGUACUGUAAGAAUAAGGAUCGGCUAACUCCGUGCCAGCAGCCGCGGUAAUACGGAGGAUCCAAGCGUUAUCCGGAAUCAUUGGGUUUAAAGGGUCCGUAGGCGGUUUAAUAAGUCAGUGGUGAAAUCUGGUCGCUCAACGAUCAAACGGCCAUUGAUACUGUUAGACUUGAAUUAUUAGGAAGUAACUAGAAUAUGUAGUGUAGCGGUGAAAUGCUUAGAUAUUACAUGGAAUACCAAUUGCGAAGGCAGGUUACUACUAAUGGAUUGACGCUGAUGGACGAAAGCGUGGGGAGCGAACAGGAUUAGAUACCCUGGUAGUCCACGCCGUAAACGAUGGAUACUAGCUGUUCGGAGCAAUCUGAGUGGCUAAGCGAAAGUGAUAAGUAUCCCACCUGGGGAGUACGUUCGCAAGAAUGAAACUCAAAGGAAUUGAACGGCUGAGAGNGACGAGACGACGACGAGGAGGAGG
rnacentral:rRNA from 1 species